rnacentral:rRNA from 1 species
UACGUAGGGGGCAAGCGUUGUCCGGAUUUAUUGGGCGUAAAGAGCUCGUAGGCGGUUUGGUAAGUCUGGUGUGAAAUCUCCACGCUCAACGUGGAGGGGCCACCCGAUACUGCCAUGACUGGAGUCCGGUAGAGGAGUGUGGAAUUCCCGGUGUAGCGGUGAAAUGCGCAGAUAUCAGGAGGAACACCUAUUGCGAAGGCAGCUCGCUGGGACGUAACUGACGCUGAGACGCGAAAGCGUGGGGAGCAAACAGG